rnacentral:misc_RNA from 1 species
ACAAACUUGGUCAUUUAGAGGAAGUAAAAGUCGUAACAAGGUUUCCGUAGGUGAACCUGCGGAAGGAUCAUUAGCGUAGCUCAUGCGGCUCCGGCUGCACUUCGCACACCCUUGAUGUUUGUAUACCUCUGUUCUCCCUCCGGCUGGGUGGUUCCAGCCGGUGGGGACACCCCCAAACCCCUUGUAGUGGAGUGUUCUGUCAGUGAAUCUUUGAAUUUAAUUACAACUUUCAACAAUGGAUCUCUUGGCUCUGGCAUCGAUGAAGAACGCAGC